GUGAGGAAUUUUCCGCAAUGGGCGAAAGCCUGACGGAGCAAUGCCGCGUGAAGGAUGAAGGCCUAUGGGUUGUAAACUUCUUUUCUUAGAGAAGAAUAUUGACGGUAUCUGAGGAAUAAGCAUCGGCUAACUCUGUGCCAGCAGCUGCGGUAAGACAGAGGAUGCAAGCGUUACCCGGAAUGAUUGGGCGUAAAGCGUCUGUAGGUGGCUUCAAAAGUCUCCUGUCAAAGAUCAGGGCUUGACCCUGGGCCGACAGGAGAAACUCUGAGGCUAGAGUUUGGUAGGGGCAGAGGGAAUUCCCGGUGGAGCGGUGAAAUGCGUAGAGAUCGGCAGGAACACCAAAGGCGAAAGCACUCUGCUGGGCCACAACUGACACUGAGAGACGAAAGCGAGGGGAGCAAAAGGGAUUAGAAACCCUUGUAGUCC
rnacentral:rRNA from 1 species